UUUUUUUUUUUUUUUAAUGAUCUGUAAACUCUAGUUGGUGAUGUCUGUGUUCUAAAUAAUAAGGACAUUAAUAAUGAUUAGUACUUAUUGAAGAUAGUAUUUUCCAUGUGUUGUCCUAUAUAAUCUUUGAUCAACCUUUUAUGAUCAUCUUAGAAGAAAACAGUAGGGGAUAGAGAAAUAACUUUACCAAUGUUAAAUGGUUGAUAAAUCUUUAUUCCCAUAAUUAAUUGUUCUAUUAAGGAUUAAAUAACAGGGUAAAUUAAUCCUGUUAAGGGUGCUAACCAAGGAGACAACAAAGUUGUAAAGCAACCAAAAGUGUUUGAGAUUUUAGAGAUUGCAAUCCCGGUGACCCAGAGUUGUCUGAAAUCAAAAGUGGGCUCUGAAUUACGACUGGGGAGUGCAAGUUUAUAGAGACAAAAGCCACAAGGUUACAAAGGUUGGUUUAAAACAAUUAUGAUUGGGGCUUGCAGGGUUAAACUAAUACAAGAUUGGCUAUUUAGCUAACAAUUAUUACCUUAUCUCUAUUUUUUAGUCCAAAGUAGAAGGCUUUGUGCUAGCAGGUAGUUAGUUGCAACUGGCAAAAGUCAAAACUUCUCCCUGUUCUGAGAGUUGAAGCAGAAGGGAAAUAGGAGUCCUGCUUCUUUAAUACCUUCCAGACCCUAUUUUGAGUCUCUUUCUUAGCAAUUGUUAGUUCAUUUUGGAAUAAUCUUUCAGAAGGGUUAAAUAAUAAGAUUAAUCGAUCAUGUUAAGGGUUGAAUAAUGUUAAAUAAUUUUGGUAACUAUUAAGUGCUAUGCUGUGCACCUUAGGUGUUAUUAUCAUAAAUCCCACAGGAAUCAUUGUCUAUCUUCACGUUAAAAGUGUGUCAUCACCACCUUGUAUAAUCUUGCAUAGUCAGUAUGCUCAUAAUUUAAAGAGGGAUGUAAAUAACAAUGAUCUGAUCCAGGUUAAACAUAUUCCACUACCAAAUACAGAUCCUCACUCCCGAUAUCUGGGGUAAGAACCAAAGACAUUCAUAGUUAAUUUUAAGUUCUCUAGGUUGACAUCUGCAGAGGCUAAAACUUACUCUAGUCUGAAAUAUUUUCACUUCCACAGUUUCUUUAUAAAAUUAAUUUCAAGACCAAGGAUGUGUACAUCUGCCUAUAAAUGUCCUUGGACACC
rnacentral:lncRNA from 1 species